UGUGUGUGUGUGUGUGUGUGUGUGUGUGUCAAUUAGGAGGUCCAGCGCCACCAGGCCACCUUCAUACGGUCCCAGACAGCGCCUAGAGAGUCGUAGGCAGGGCGUACAUCCAGGAUGGAGAACUGGUAGUUGUCCUUGUUGAUCUCGCC